rnacentral:misc_RNA from 1 species
GACUACUGGCAGGAUCAACCAGGUAGCAAUCACUCCUAGACCUCUUUGCAUCCCAAGGACGAGCGCGGAACGGAGGGGAUCCGGGGCUCCGAGGAAAGCACGAGGGUCGCCAGAGCGGAAGCAGAGCGCUUCGAAAAGUAGAGACCGCGCGGCCAACGAGGGACCGCUCGAUUACAACAGUUAUCACCGUAACCGUGAGCACGCUGACGGCAACGACGCACCAACGCGGAGGGUGCCGCCCAGGAGAUGGACGGCCGACCGGUGGGAGAUCGCCGAAGCAAGCACGACGCCUCCCAACGCACGGGACGCGAAUGGGAGGCGAGAGAACCGAGACAUGGACGACAGCGAGCCCGAGAACCACAACCGGGUAUCAAACGCAGGAACACACCCACAGCCCGCGACCAAAACUAGGGGCCGCGAUAAAAUGAUACGGAUAAGGCCACAACAGUUCGGAGCCAGAAGCACGGAGCCUGCCGCGGGAACAUAUCCCAU